UUCACUCCGUCACGGAGGGGUAGUGUCGAGGGAGUGGUUUGGGAUUGGGCCUCUAUGUUCCUAACACAUACUCCUGUUUGAACAGCAGAGGGCGGCAGACUAUAUGAAACAUCAUGUCCAACAAAAGGCAGGGUCCUGUCUUCACGCUGUCUGACAGAUACACAGCAAGGACAUGUGAUCCCAAAAGAUGAGUGUAAGACACCCCCCAUCUGCUCUCCUGACAGCAACCACACCUCCAAAGAGCUAACAAAAAGAUUCAAAUAUUUGAACAGGCCUGAGAUCAGCUUGUCCUCUGUAUUGACUGGAGGAUAAGGCUGCUCUUUUUGUUGAGUGAGCUGAUGAAAGACCAAACCAACAGCCCAUCUUUCAACACUCUGAUACCCAGUCUGUGACCAAGUAAAUUUACUACAGAUAAAAAAGAAGGUCCAGUGAUUUCCCAGCAGGACUGUGAGAUGAAGUCAAAAUAAAGUGGUGUGUGUUGGUGCUGAUGAAGGAGCAGUGUGGCUUGGUAAUGGGGUUUAAUGGUUUCUGUGGACACUGGAGCUCCAUGGCAGAGAGGAAGUGUCGGGUAUACAGCAGACAUUCUUGGUUUAAUGUGAACGCUGUUUGAAGGAAAGGAACAUUUUUAAGAACUGCAUCAAUCUGGGUUCAAGAUAAAAAAACACUGGAUCAUUCAGUGUUUUAAUAAGUCAGUGUUUCAGUUUAUUGUGGCUUUACAGUAACAGUCAUGAGUGCUCACAGUUGAUCUCAGCUUCAUUUGUCCGACACAGUCCCUUCACAUUUACACUUGGUAUUAACAGGAUCUGAAUACUUUAUCUAGAUGAUGACCUCUGAUCCAUGGUCUUUGUAUUUGCUUUUGUUCGUUUUUCUUUGUAAGAAUGUGGUCAUUGGCCUACUUGAUUACACUUAUCUUCUAGAUGUGGUCCGGUCCUUUUUUCCUAAAACAUUGAAAUGGCAGGUGUACAUAAGGUAAUAGAAUGGGAGGGAACACAGGGAUGUUAGCCUUUGCAGACCGUUUACAUGCAAACAAACAUAACACACUACAGGUGAGAGAAACCCCCCAAAAGCACAACAGCCUCUUUAAAAGAUAAAUAAAGUAGUCUAAAGAAGACAUUAUUUAGAACUGAAAGGUCACAAGACCUGUAUCUCACUGUCAUGGAGAUUAUGUGAGGGUCCUAGGGGUCAGGAGAACUAUGAACCCAUAAAGCACUAAUAAUGAAAAAAGGCUAGCCACACAUGGACUGAAACACAAAAGAGUUGGACAAAGAGAACAUUGAUGUGAGUUUGGCUAACUGAAGCUGUUCUGAGUGCAAGAUGAGGAUGUGGAGUCUGAUCAAUGAGCAGCUGAAGUAAAAUGUUAGACUUUAACACCAGAUAAUAGCCUAACCAGUCUCACAAAUAUAACACUAUACUGUGCACGUUAAUAGUUGAAAAUAAUGUAAACCCAUCCUCACACUAACUGUUAAUCUCCUGCUUAUAGCAAAUAAUAUCAAUCUACUGUGAAGUAACGGCACCACAUGCAGUCACAUGACUUCUGACGAUGCCUGCUGUUCACGUUCACCCGCAGGUAUAUAAUGCUAGCAUUCUGUCACUUAACUUCGUGAACACUGACAACGUUUUUGGAAUUGCUAACAACUUAAAAUACGCUAGCUAGCUAUCUCCUAACUAGUAAGCAACCUACAGCAGCGGUAAAUCAUCUGCCUAAUCGUAGCUAAAGCACACAAUACUGUUGAGAUGUCAGAAAGUAAAUUCUAUGCACUUUACACGCUCAAAUGUAAAGAACUGUCAAGUUUCUCUCAUUGGUAAAGACUAGCAACAACUAAACAGCUGAUAACACACAACUAGUGUGAGUAUCUCUGUGUGUAUCUCUCAUGUUCCUGUCAAUUUGUAUGCAUGCAUGUAAAACUGUAACUACAGUAAGCAGAUAAACUACACUGAGCACUGAAUAGUACUCUGCGUCUUUUCUUGUUGUAAAUACUGUCUCUAGGAGGAGAGCUAGUUAGCUGUUACACUGAAACAGAUUUCACAUAACUGUAUUAGGUUGGUUGAACACAAUAAUAUAACGUUGAACCGAAUAUUUUGUAUUUAAAGUUAAUAUUAUUGCUUUUAACUAACCUAAUACAGUUACAGUAUGUGAAAUUUGUUGACAUAUUACAUUUCAUCAAAGUCAAUGUUUCAGUUUUCUCAGUGUGGCAGCUUCUCAGUGUCUCGCAAGCCUGGGGGCUCACUGGACCGAAGUUGAAUCCCCCUGGGCCUAAGAAUCGAGGAUUUUUGUAUUUUGUAUUUUUAACUAAACACAAGUAACAACUCUGAAUCUCAUGGUGUAGUUUGUGUAAAGCUGGUUGAAAGAAAGCGACAGUGUCACAUUGAGUAUGAAGAGUGUCUCCUUCUGAACAGCAAACAGAGGUUUGUACAAGUUUGAGCAUUUGAACCAGGAACCAGGAAUAGCAGAGGACAAGAGCAGGGUCGCAGGUGAGAUUUUUUAAAUGGGGGGGACGAAACAGAGAAAUUAUUUUCCCGAUAUUUACUUACUAUUUGUUUUAUUAUGUGUUUUACAAUCAUAACAUUAACCCCUGGGUGGGCACAUCCAAAUGAUCUAAGAUGAUUUAAUUACAACGAUCAUAUGAACAAAUGUAUAUAUUGAAAAAACAAAAAAAAUAGGGGGACGGAUCAGCAUCCCCCCGUCCCCCCCACUAUCUGCGCCCCUGGACAAGAGUAACCAAGAGUUUAAUGUGGUUCUAAUGUGAGCUGCAGGGCAUCCGAUGACCAAACAGCUGCGGAUUCAAGUGUUGCGCUCUUUAGCCCCCCAGGAGUGGAACUGAACAUUCAAACUGACAUGUCAUUAACAACGGUCUGUGUACAUGUGGAUAAGCUUUAUAGUCUCAAGACAUUGAAUACUAUAAAGGGGAACAAAUCCCAUUAUAAAAUAGGCUAGUCAUUUGGAAUACAUCUCCUUGAAAAGUUUCUAUACAACCUUCAUUGCUCGAGCAUAUAACAUCUAAAAAGGCUCCAUUGGACAAAUGACUUGUCAAAUGGCUCAUAAAAUGUAAUAAUGCGGCAUGUACAGUAUUACAACAGUGUUACAGUAUUAUAGUGUUACAGUGUUACAGUGUUAAAUGAGGUUUACUGUUUGGGGGCCACCACAGAAAUAGUCUCAUUCAGGUAACACUCGGAAUCAAAUGUUGGUUGAGUUUAUUAUUUAUUAUUUAUUUCCCUUUUAGAUUUAAUGAUUCAUAACAAAAUAUUUGAAUGUUCUAAAUACAGUGUGUAAAAUGUGAUGUACGCAGCAGAGUACAUACGUGUGUGUGUGUUGAGUGUGUAAAUGUGUGUGUGUGUGUGUGUGUGUGUGUGUGUGUGUGUGCACACAUGUGUUUGUGAAGUCUCCUAUCUUGUAAUCAGGACACAGACACGUACAGUAAUAUUGAAACAGUACACACACAACCGCAUUGAGGAUGUUACACACACAUACACACAAUAGUUAUGCAGAAAGGAAACACCCACACACAC